GCGUGGUCAUUGUGAGGUCGUCAUGGGAAGGCGGGGCCGGCGGGGGAGGUCGGGGGGUGUACAAGGAUAGGGGCGUGGUCAAUCGGGAGGGGCGGGGCCUGCAAGAAGAGUGGAGGGCGGAGGGCAGAAGGGACUGGGGAAGGGGCGAGGCCUGGAAGAAUAGAGGCAGAGGCGGGAGCGGCCGAUCUUGGCGGGUAGGUGAAUGACUGGAGCGCAGUCCAGAAGAGGCGGGGCUGGGGAAAGAUGCCGCUGGCAGGGCAGGGUGGUGGGGAAGGGCCCUCCUGGUAGCGGGUGUCCUAAGAGCGAAAGCGGGACGUGGCGCGGGUUCACCUGUGGAUACAACUGGCUGAGGGGUGGGCUCGGCAGCAGAGUCAGGGUCAGGAGCCGGUGUGGGACCUGAAGCAGGGCACAGGCUGGGGCUCAUCGCGGCCCGGCCCCUUUCCAUCGCAGAUCCCGCCUCCUCGCGACUCGGCCCCCAGGUCACAUCCCUCCGUCGGUGCCCGCCACCCACUCACCGUGGGGCUCCCGUGCGGCAGGUACACCGGGUAGUCGCGAGCGGUCUGCGGCGGCAGGGACCCCACCAGCCAGGGGAGCAGCACGGCCUCGGGCGUCCCCAGCCGCCACCAACCCUCUGUUGCUGCCACCACCCGGCCGGACACCACCAGACUGACGAAGGUCGUGCCCGCGGCCUCAGCGAACCCGGAGAGGGCUUCCUGGGUACGGGAGGCAGGAGGACUGGGAGUCAGCAGACAAGCGUAGGGGGUGGCAGCGACUUCCCAGAUGGGCAGGGAAUGGGGAGAAACCCACAGCCAGCCCCGAGCUCGCGCAGUGGCCAUGCUCCUACGUCUCACCCUCUCUGAGCCUGAGUUCCUUCACUUUCAUACGAAGUCACAUCCCCAACUCACACUGUGAAGUCUGUGAAAUCUGAUUAAACAUCUAGCCUGGGCGGGCAAACUGA
rnacentral:lncRNA from 1 species